rnacentral:rRNA from 1 species
UACAGAGGUCCCAAGCGUUGUUCGGAUUCACUGGGCGUAAAGGGUGCGUAGGUGGUGGGGUAAGUUUGAUGUGAAAGCUCCGAGCUUAACUCGGAAAUGGCAUUGAAUACUAUCUCGCUUGAGGUUUGGAGGGGGGACCGGAAUUCUCGGUGUAGCAGUGAAAUGCGUAGAUAUCGAGAGGAACACCAGUGGCGAAGGCGAGUCCCUGGACAACACCUGACACUGAGGCACGAAAGCUAGGGGAGCAAACAGG